rnacentral:misc_RNA from 1 species
GGUUUACGAGUUUUUUAAAAAAUAAUAAAAUAUUCACAGUAAUAUCCGGAUAUUUGUAAAAAUUCACCGUGACCUGUGCUCUCCUUCUUCGCCUCGAUUAGAAAAACCCACCGAUUCAUGCCCGCUGACGAUGCGCUGUCCGCGGAGGAAACCAAUACACUUAACUCCUGGUGUACUGGUGACCCGAGGAGAUCGCUCGUCUCCGCGAGGCGUGAAUCCGCGCUCGGCGCCGGUUCACCAGAUCCCGCCGUCCCUGGGGGCGCCCUUACAAGAUGGUAUUGAACAAUUUCCGUCCAUGGGCGCCUUCCGCAACGGAGAGCAUGGACCUUCGGUUCAUGGAAGAGGUUGUCGGCACUCUGUUCCCGGGAGCGGCGAACGAGGAAGAUGGCAGGUUCACCG